GCGGGAAAUCAGGUGGAAGCCUCUCUGGAGCUCCAUGGGCCUUCCCAGUCUCUGACGCACACCGCGAGGCCCCUUCCUGUAUAUGCCCUCGCUCUCUCGUUUCCCCACUCCGGAUCCCGUCCGUGCCCUCGAAACUUUUCACGAACCCCGUUCGUCGCCAUCGUGAGCGAUUAUCCGUUCCUCUUUCGCCCCCUCUCCCCAUCUUCCUCAAAACCUAGAGAACCCCAUCUAGGGUUUCUCUUUUCUUCUCAUCGUCAGGGAAUCUAUCCAGCCCCACGCUUCAAUCGGAGUUCUGAGAUCGCGAAAAUGGCCGACGCGUUCAAGGACGACGCGGAGCAGACGGUGACGAUCGGCGAGUACAUCGAGGGGCUCGAGGCAGAAGAGCUGGAAGCUGAUUUAGUUUUGGGAGGGGACGAAGGCAAGGAAUGCACUUACGCCGAUGGGUAUAUGAAGAGGCAAGCUAUCUUCUCCUGUUUGACUUGUGUCCCAGCCGGCAACGCAGGGGUUUGCACGGCCUGUAGCCUCUCCUGCCACGAUGGCCACGAGGUUGUGGAGCUCUGGACUAAGAGAAAGUUUCGUUGUGAUUGCGGCAAUUCAAAGUUUGGAGAGUUCUUCUGCAAGCUUUUUGCUAAUAAAGAUUCCGAAAACAUUGAGAACACUUACAACCAUAACUUUAAAGGUUCUUAUUGCACAUGCAGUCGCCCUUAUCCUGAUCCAGAUGCUAAAGAGCAAGUAGAAAUGAUACAGUGCUGCAUCUGUGAGGACUGGUUUCACGAGAAUCACCUUGGUCUCAAUUCUUCCAAUGAGAUACCAAGAGAUGAGGAAGGAGAACCCUUAUAUGAGGAUUGUAUCUGCCAAGAAUGUGCAGUCACUUGUUCAUUCUUGAAACUUUAUCCAGCUUGUAUUUGGGCUACUUUGAAGCAAAAAAGUACAGCACCUGUAAGCAGCAAUGAGGGAAAUGUGCCAGAAGAUGGAUCCUCAGCUAGCACACAUUCUGAGAAAAUUGCAAAUAACAUUAUUGUUUCUGAGAAUUUGGGGAAUUGUUCGAACACCUUUUCAGAAUCUGAAACUGUGCCUAAUGAGAAGAAUUCCUUUCAUGGUGAAAGUACAGCAAAAGAUUUCAAUUUGCAGAAGACUCAAGCAUGUGACAGUAAUAAAGAACCAAGUCCUAAAUGCAUACUUGAAGUGGAUAUAAAUUCAAUGUCAGCUAUCUCGGAGAAAAAAGGGCCCAUGUUCCUUUCAAAAAAAUGGAGAGAUCUUCUUUGCAGAUGUAGUUCAUGUUGUGGGUUCUAUGCUCGGGAAGGUAUUGACUAUCUAAUUGACAGGGAGGACUCGAUUGAGGAAUAUGAGAAAAUGGCAAAACGGAAGAGGGAUGAGAAGUUGCAGCAGCAGGAAGGAGCGGAAUUAGACUUUCUCAAUACACUCAAUCAUGUUCAAAAAAUAGAAAUCCUAAGUGGCAUUGCUGACAUGAAGAAUGAGUUCCAAUCCUUCCUGGGAAAUAUCAAAGCAAUAGGUGGUGGCAUGAAAACAUAGUUCAUUGUAUAACAUUUAAUUCUACUGCUUUGUCUUCUCACUUAUCCUGUUUAUUUGGAAAUAUUGUUUCAAGAGCUUAGAACACUUUAUCAAGGCAUUAGAUUUAAUUUGUUAAGUUUCAAGUAAGAGCUACUGUCUGGGAGAACCAUUAUGCUCUUUUACUUUGAAUUGCUAACCCUAUAAAGUUUGUAGAAGGAUGCUCCCAACUUUUUUUUUUUUCCAUUCAUUUAUCAAUCGUAGAUAAUAUUAGUUCAGUGGGCUAAUAUAAACUCUAAUUAUUUGUCUUCAGUUUUUGUGGUUGAAGUUCAUUUCAAGUGUUUCUUGGGCAUCUAUAUAAAAUGACUGGCAUCUGACUCUGGUACCCUUCAAUUAUAUGGAAGCACCAAGUUUUCAAUGAGGCAAUAGAUUGUAAAAUUACAAAGUACAUAUAGCGGCAAAGUAGUAGUAGAAGUCUGCAAAUACUAAGGAAUCUUUUGACUCAUCAAAGCCGGUUACAUCAGCGGAUAUACGAGGAGUCUUUGAAAAUCUUGCCAAGAAGAAGAAACAAAGGUUAUUAUAAGGUUUUUCACAAUACCUCAGAUCCUUUUUCCAUGUGUACUUGCUGCACCUGCUGUGGAUCUGAUUUUAACCAUUUGGGCUUUGAAAAAAGACAUUCAGCAUGGUUGUAUAGUCAACCCUAAGUUACAGAUCCCCAACUUUGAACGUGAUUGGCUGAUCUAUAUUUCAGCAAAGUUCACCAGGUCCUUUGUAACGGCUUCUGUGAUGCAACGCCAAUGGAUAUUGGGAUAUUUUGCUCGACUAUGAUAUUAGCCAAUGAUAUUUAUCAUAUUUAGAAGCUGGCAGUUUCUCAA